rnacentral:rRNA from 1 species
AUGAUUGACACGAACCUGCAAAUCAUGUGCUAGAAUGUACGUGGGCUCAAUUCGCCAGCCCGGCGAGCCGUAGUUUGCGAGGCGGCGGAAACGCACAAACUGGCUCUCCUCUGCCUGCAAGAAACAAAGAUUGAUGAGUGGAAUAGAUCGCUAGUUAGGGAGGUGGGCGGAUGCACACUAGCUGAUUGCGUCGUCCUCCCGGCGGAUGGCACCCGUGGUGGUGCGGCCAUUUUCUGGGACAAAAGCCGCGUGGACGUGCAAUCCCACGCCAUCGGCCACUUCUCCAUCACGGCCAAGAUCACCCUGGCGGCAACGGCUAUCUCCUUUUGGAGGACGACGGUGUACGACCCUGUCGAUGAUGGGAGGAAGGACGAGUUCCUGGCUGAGCAAUCGCGAGCUGCACCUCCAGCAGAUGCCCCCUGGCUCAUCAAUGGAGAUUUCAACCUCAUCUACGAUGCUGCAAGAACAACAGCAACAUAA